rnacentral:misc_RNA from 1 species
GAUGAAGAACGUAGUGAAAUGCGAUACGUAAUGUGAAUUGCAAAUUCAGUGAAUCAUCGAGUCUUUGAACGCACAUUGCGCCCCCUGGUAUUCCGGGGGGCAUGCCUGUCCGAGCGUCAUUGCUGCCCUCAAGCACGGCUUGUGUGUUGGGCCCCGUCCUCCGAUCCCGGGGGACGGGCCCGAAAGGCAGCGGCGGCACCGCGUCCGGUCCUCGAGCGUAUGGGGCUUUGUCCCCCGCUCUGUAGGCCCGGCCGGCGCUUGCCGAUCAACCCAAAUUUUUAUCCAGGUUGACCUCGGAUCAGGUAGGGAUACCCGCUGAACUUAAGCAUCUCAAUAAGCGGAGGA